AAUAAUAUUACGUAACUUUGUUCCAACGUUUAUUUUUAGCAUUCUUCACCUUUUUCAAUACUUUUAAUUUGAAUUGAAUUAACAUGGGCAAUGGAAAAGACAAGCAUGAUGAGACCAAUGAGAGAGGUCUUUUUUCUUCACUUUUGACAGGCUUGGGCCAUUCAUCAGGAUCUCACUAUCCAUAUCCCCCACAUGGAUCAUACCCCGGAGCAGGAUAUCCACCACCCGGAGGAGGCUACCCUCCAACAGCAUAUCCGCCUGCUGGAGGGUAUCCACCUGCUGGAUAUCCUCCUUCGGGAUAUCCUCCUGCAGGAGGGUAUCCACAUGUUGGUUAUCCUCCUUCAGGAUAUCCUCCAACGGGAGGGUAUCCACCAUUUGGUUACCCACAUUCAGGGUAUCCUCAUCAACCACCAGCAUACCCUUCCGGCUACCCAGGUGCACAUACUUCAGGGCACGGGGGUGGAAUGGGAAGAGGCUUAUUAGCCAGUGGUGUUGCGGCUGCAGCGGCCGCGUAUGGUGCUCACAAGCUUUCACAUGGUGGUAAUCAAUAUGGUUAUGGACAUGGGAGUUCCUUUGGCCAUGGAAAGUUUAAGCAUGGUAAACAUGGCAAGUUUAAGCAUGGCAAGUUUAAGGGUAAACAUGGUUGGAAAUGAUGUAAAAAAGGUAAAUAAUUAUGUGCAUGGUUGUGAAGGUUGAGUUCUAUGAUCAAUAGUAAUAAUGUUUGCUAUGAGCAGCAAAGUGUGUUUCUAUUAACAAUGAAAACUUUAUGUACAUUGUUUGUUAUUAUUUUUGGUGUUAUUGUGUGAGGCUGUUAUAUAUAAGUAAGCCAUUAUUAUCAUCCUUAAUUAUUAAGCUUUGUUUUCUAAUCAUUUACUUUCUUUGUGCG
rnacentral:lncRNA from 1 species